GCACCGCGUCGCGCACCGGCCCGUGCUCGCCGCCCAGCAGGCGGCGCGCCACGUCCGCGUUGUACGAGGCGUCGGCGCCGCGC
rnacentral:tRNA from 1 species